rnacentral:rRNA from 1 species
GCGGUAGCUACCAUGCAGUCGACGGCAGCACAGUAAGAGCUUGCUCUUAUGGGUGGCGAGUGGCGGACGGGUGAGGAAUACAUCGGAAUCUACCUUUUCGUGGGGGAUAACGUAGGGAAACUUACGCUAAUACCGCAUACGACCUUCGGGUGAAAGCAGGGGACCUUCGGGCCUUGCGCGGAUAGAUGAGCCGAUGUCGGAUUAGCUAGUUGGCGGGGUAAAGGCCCACCAAGGCGACGAUCCGUAGCUGGUCUGAGAGGAUGAUCAGCCACACUGGAACUGAGACACGGUCCAGACUCCUACGGGAGGCAGCAGUGGGGAAUAUUGGACAAUGGGCGCAAGCCUGAUCCAGCCAUACCGCGUGGGUGAAGAAGGCCUUCGGGUUGUAAAGCCCUUUUGUUGGGAAAGAAAAGCAGUCGGCUAAUACCCGGUUGUUCUGACGGUACCCAAAGAAUAAGCACCGGCUAACUUCGUGCCAGCAGCCGCGGUAAUACGAAGGGUGCAAGCGUUACUCGGAAUUACUGGGCGUAAAGCGUGCGUAGGUGGUUGUUUAAGUCUGUUGUGAAAGCCCUGGGCUCAACCUGGGAAUUGCAGUGGAUACUGGGCGACUAGAGUGUGGUAGAGGGUAGUGGAAUUCCCGGUGUAGCAGUGAAAUGCGUAGAGAUCGGGAGGAACAUCCAUGGCGAAGGCAGCUACCUGGGACCAACACUGACACUGAGGCACGAAAGCGUGGGGGAGCAAACAGGAUUAGAUACCCUGGUAGUCCACGCCCUAAACGAUGCGAACUGGGAUGUUGGGUGCAAUUUGGGCACGCAGUAUCGAAAGCUAACGCGUUUAAGUUCGCCGCCCUGGGGAGUACGGUCGCCAAGACUGAAACUCAAAGGAAAUUGACGGGGGCCCGCAACAGCGGUGGAGUAUGUGGGUUUAAGUCGAAUUGCACCGCGAAGAAACCUUACCUGG